ensembl:miRNA
UCCCAGACCCUCCCGUCCCCUGUGUCCUGAGUUCGCUUCCCCGCGGCCAGAUGAUGGGAGCUGAUUGGGA